rnacentral:rRNA from 1 species
GACGACGCUGGCGGCGUGCCUAACACAUGCAAGUCGAACGGGGGGAACAUGAAGUAUUUCGGUACGGAAUGCGCCCCUAGUGGCGAACGGGUGAGUAACACGUGGGCAACCUGCCCCAGACUGGGGGAUAACAUUGUGAAAACAGUGCUAAUACCGCAUGACAGGGUUCCGGGCAUCCGGGACCCUUGAAAGGAGAAAUCCGGUCAGGGAUGGGCCCGCGUCCAAUUAGCUAGUUGGCGGGGUAACGGCCCACCAAGGCGACGAUUGGUAGCCGAACUGAGAGGUUGAUCGGCCACAUUGGGACUGAGACACGGCCCAGACUCCUACGGGAGGCAGCAGUGGGGAAUAUUGGGCAAUGGGCGAAAGCCUGACCCAGCGACGCCGCGUGAAGGAUGAAGGUCUUCGGAUUGUAAACUUACUUUGAUCAGGGAAGAAAGAAAUGACGGUACCUGAAAAACAAGCCACGGCUAACUACGUG